CUGCUACCUGCAUUAUAAGAGGGGAAAACCACAGAGAAAAACCAUGACAGUUACCAUGAUGAAGCUCCAGCUCUGGAAAAAAAAACCAAACACACUUUUAAAAGAAGUUCAGACGGAGAGCGCUGACAUUUUCACCUGAGCGCCAUCGAUUGUUUCCUUUAAGCAAAAGCCCCAUGUACAGAACUAAAACAAAUCAAUGCAGGCAGUGGAAACGAAUCCAAGCUUGUAUUGUGUUUCUUGUUGGAGAUUCAUGGGCCUGGGAGACAUACACGAACACCUGCUCUCUCGUUCAGCUGCUGGUGACUGAGAUCCCUCUCUACUUUUUCCCAGUCGCUCUCUCCUUCACACAUACACAAUCCGUGUAGCAAUGACAUCCCAAUCAGUGUCCCCACCCACAUGUAACCUCCAACCCCAAGACACACAUUCACAGGCGCACACACCUCCCCGCCUGUCCCUUCUCGUUGCCGGGCUCAGACAGCCGGCUUGACAGCCUGUGACAAGUGCAGCUGGAUCUGCUGCUGUCCAUCACUGCAGACUGGCUUUCAGCAGAGCUCUGUGUUGUCCUGCGAUACCAGAGGCUGCACCGUCCUCUGCCAGACACCCUGCCAGGACCAAAGAAGGCAAGGCCAAGCUCUGUCACAUGAAGGCAAUUGAUGGUGCAACGAGGGACAUGAGGAAAGCAUAACAGAGUGACACGCCAAUCAACAAGCUGCUGGAACCAGAUCUUUCAGCGAUGUAAACCCGAGAUGAGGCUCUGAUGAUUCUUUCAAACAGGAAGAACUUGGUGGAUGUGUGUGACUGCAGCACGCGCACAGUGCAAGACAGAAUGGCGAAGAAAUAUUACAGUUUGCAUGGUUUUUAAUGUAGUACACAAAUACUAUUGAGUCCAUAUUAUGUCAUGAAGAAAGAGAGACAAAGAUGGAGCUUUCUAAUAGAAGGGAAAGGUAAAUUUAAACACAAAGUGGGUUUCAAAUUUUCUAAAGUAAGAACUUAUUUUUUAAAAAAUAUUUUUUUUUAUUUAUUCUUUUUUGUCAUUUUUUGCUUGAGUUUGUAUGGUUAUAAUAAGAGUAUUUCACAUAAACACUUUUCAAACUAAGCUUUAAUAUCUCUAAAAGAAGAACAUUUUUGAUCAGAUCAUGCUAAAAUUCUGUUGUUUUCAUAUUCAAACUGUAGAAAAAAAUAAUCUGAGAUAGAUAAAGUUGCCAAUAAAUUUUACUAGUAUUGACUAUGUAAAAUGUUUCAUUUGGUAUCAUAAUAAAGCAGUUACCCAACUGGUUUCUUAAAAAUAAAAAUGAAACAAAUAAAAUAAAAAAACUCUCAAGUUCUCAGUUUGAAUUUAACUCAUAGUGUAAAACUUAAAUUUUAAAUGUUAAACCUAAAUCUAUAAAAUGCCAAUUUAUUACUGAAUUUGUGUCAGAGAACUACUCAAACUUAAAAAA